CAGCUAGGAAAGUAUAAGUGAUUGAUAAAGAACUUCUUAGCCGAUCCCAUAAUAGCUUCUUUUCAUUUUCACUCUCAAUGUACAUUCGUGAUAAGUGCUCUUGUGGCUCUUCACUCCAGCCCUGAAGUAUUCUGUGAGCCCAAUCUCUUUCACAUGGGCCCUCCCCCUCCCUCCAGACCGACAAGACCCCAAACCUAACGAGAGAUCUCUCUCUCUCCCUCCCUUUCUUUUUGGGCCUAGGUUUCCGCUUUCUUUGAAACGAAACGGAUUCUUUUGCCCUUAGCCUAUCGGUCGACCCGAGCGCCCAUGAGGUGUGGUCCGAACUCCCCCAAUAAUCACGGUCUACCCGCUUUCUUUUUGAUCAGCUGCCCCUCAACUGCGUCAGAGGUAUUUAUUAAUAACCCAAAGACUUCACUUCCACAUCUAGAUCUAGGAAAUUGGAAGCUACAUCCAUCUCAUUGAGUAUAGAUCCGAGUUCCCCAGAGGCUAGCAAUCAAGCAGAAAUGAAUGGUAUCAGGUGGAAGGACAGACCCACCAUACAGUGUAGUUCGCAGCUAAAGGCGCAAAAGGAAAGAGAAAAAUAGUUAAACCGUUUGACCUCAAAUUGGCGAGGAAUUCAAGGAAUCAUAGGCGCAGAAGGCCAAUGAACAUCGGCUUCAGACCUUAACCUUAGACGUACCGUACUUCCUCAAGAUGAACCUGCUGUAGAGAUAAUUGGGAAUCUUUUAGCCGCUAUUCCCGUACUAUUGUAAACCAGCUUGAUAAAGGGUAGUGGUAGAGUCUCAGUACCACUGAAAGUGCGAUAGUCGGGCAAACAAUCUCCUCUUUUUAUCAUAUCAUAUAAGGUAGGGUAUUGUAUAUAUGAAAAUUCAAAGCAGGUAUAAAAUUCUUAACUACAACCGCUGUAUUCACUCGUGCUUUGUUCAACUCAAAGAGAGUUUCACUCGGGCAAUAAGAGAUAUUCUUUAUAACUGGAUAGGUUGCUGUUUUAGGGAGAAGGUAAGGGUCCAAAGGUAAAAAGUUCUGUUACUCAAGAGUCAAGUAAAAAAAAAGAGGGGUACGAUGAGAUCACCACCGGCUUAUUUUAGAGUGACGGAUCACUCCUAAAAGCAACCUUUCACUUAUCUUAAGUUCUUAAGGGACCGAGGGCGUUAGCUUGGGCUCGGUUAGAUUUACUUGAAGGAAAGGGAAGAGACUAGUCAUUAAAAAAAAGAAUCAUACUGAUGAGUUCCUAUCCGAAGCCCUCUGAUCUUCUCGGGUUAUAAACUUUCAUCUCGAUUAGGUUCGUGUUCGGGAGACAUGGGAAAAGUAGGGUAAAGAAAAGCCUCGUUUCUGGCAAUGUGAACCUUCCUAGCCCGUAUGAUUCCAUCGGGUGAAUUAAUAACUCGAUAAUCCAUCCAAUACUAAUCACUAAUCUAUCUGGAGGGCGGAUAAGACGGCCAGCAUGAGGUUCUCAGUCUCACUCCCUCGAAGAUGCCCUCCGCAGGAAAGAUCCCCUCACGUGGGUGCUAAGACUAGGUCGGGAUCGGGGAAACUCACUUUGGCUGAACCAUCCGAAUCCGAUGCUUCCGCUAAGGCAACUAAGUCUUUAUCAUUCUCUAAUCUUGGAAUGUAAGGGUAAUCUUAAUCGGAGGCUAGAGCUUCAUCUUCCUUUUCCAUUCGUCAAUGACAUUCUUUCUGAAGUGAAUCCCAGUGACUUAAAUAAAGAUAGAGAAAUGUCACAGUACGGUAAGUCUCUUUAUCUCGUAGGAAGGUGAAAGAGAGAGAGGCGAUCGUAGUGAAGCGACCGGAGGGAGUUAGUCAAUCCUACGGCUUCGGGCGAGCAAAUGAACUAAUGGGUGAACUCCUUGCGGGGAAAACUUGAAGAAGGAAAAGCUUCCUUAGCGAAGCGGGAAGGGAAGUCUCGAGAAUAUGGCUCCUAAACUAGUCCAGUUUUGAUUCCCACUUUAGCUGACGAGUUUCAAAUCAGUGUUCAAAACUGAUUGAGGGCUCCCGAAGAGGCUAGUUGACUCACUAUAGCUAUAGUCUCAAUCUGGUAACCAACCAAAGCGCAUGCAUGACUAUGGCUGCCAUUUAUGCAAGCAUUCUCAUUCAUAAGCCCAAAAAGAAGAGCAGUCUCUUCAUAGCACCCAGCACCCUGCAGUCCCUUACCUAUAGCCUUAGAUUUAGAUUUAGAUUUAGAUUUUGAUCUAUGGGUCAGUCUUGCAAAGACGGAUUCCUGGAAGAAGAGCAGGAUUCGGGGUCAGCUCUCUUAUCAUAAAUAAAGAAGUGAAAAUGAAGACUCGGACUCGGCUACCGGCUGCCAAUGGGAUAGCACUAGAGCUACUGCCAUCCUCUUUCCUUCUCUAUUCUUUCGCGCAUUUCAUCUUUUUCCUUUAAAGAAAGAAAAAGGCGGUGGUUAGAAAAGGAAAGCUGGCUCGACCGAAAGACCCUAUUUUGGGCAGCCUAUUCGUAGACAAAGAAAGCCGAUUCGCCAAUUAUUAUUCCUUUACUUUUAAUCAAAGUCUUUCCCGAGGAAGAGGGAAGCCUUUUGUAAGCAGAAGCGUAGCGCUUCGCAAGUGAAGGUGCAGGAUUUGCUUCUUCCCCUUAUAGCGGCUUCUGUUAUUUUCACAUAAAUGUUAUAAUAAAUCCUAUCUCCCCCUAUCUCUACUUCUGCUAACGAAUGCUAGAAUUGGGAUAUCGAGAAAGAAGGUAGACCGUAGAAGGUUCAACAAAGAAAAGCAAGAAAACGUAAGCCUAACCUAUACAAGGGCUUACGUUUUUCAACUACGCACCAUGACUAAUUAGGAACUCACCCAAGGUGUGAAGCGAAAACAUCCUUUAUUGAGACUGGAAAUAUAGAAAAACUUGCAAGGACACACGCACACCAAGCAGUCACUUCCGCACCUGAAGGCAAAGAGAAAUCAUUCCUGGAUGCGAGAUAAGGUACAAGCACUAAAAGAAAAGAAAUGAAACCUAAGGAAGAGGUCCGUCCUGUCGCUUCUUCUUCUCCUCCGAUCAAGACCGGAAGAAGGUAGGUCAGCUCGAUCUAGCUAUCCUGUUUCGGAUUGGACGGGGAUGAAGCUAGUCUUCUCUCUGGCAUGGAUAGGCUUUAUUCUCGCUCAGCGAGUUUCUCACCUUUCGGGGACAGAUGGGCUGGGUCGGGAGCUGUGACAAUAGGAGUUUCAGUCUUAGGCUUUUCUGUGUACCCAGACAAAAGGAAAGGGGCUUAUGUCUUCAGUUGCUUAUUCUUUUUUCUACGAUCGAGGGAGAGUGAAUGCUCCCAUUGAAUCUCUUGAGUGUGGUUAGAAAUCGCAUAAUAAAAAAGAAGAAAGUUUGAUUCCUCUGAUUCCUCCAGUCCUGGCCACUCUUAACUCAUCUUUUUAUGGAAACAAGCGGUACGGUAGUAGGGAAAGACUUCUUGAUGUAGUUCCAUAUACUUUCGACUUUCAUUGAUCUUGCCUUGGUCUUCAGUCUAGCCAGAGAAAGUUUAAAAGAAAGUAGAAUGUUUCAAAAUGAAAAGUAAGACGUAAUACAGUCAUCUCACACGCUAGGCCAAAAAGGCUAUUCUUGCUAGAAAAUCUCAUAAUCGAAUCGCUAGGAUAAAAGUGGUGAUCUCAGGCAGGGAAUACAAUGGAGCACUCUAGCAACCAUUGAACUGGAUGCCUAGAAUAUGCUCUUUUCAGGACAUGAGAAUACGGUCUUUCUCCGCUUAAGCUUAAAAAAGGCUUCCUCCUAUAAGGUGUGAAGCAUUGAUUUCCUACCCAGCUAGGAAAGUAUAAGUGAUUGAUAAAGAACUUCUUAGCCGAUCCCAUAAUAGCUUCUUUUCAUUUUCACUCCCAAUGUACAUAUGGCACAAUAUUACAGGAAGCUUGAAGUGCAGCAUUCCAUUCUCGCAUGUCUAUUCUCUCUUUCUUAUGGUCUAUCUUUCCGUGCGUUCUUCCUCUUCCUUUCUGGAUCAGCUUGGUCAGUUAGUCAUUGCUAGUAGUAGAUCAGCUGCGGGCAAUGCUUGCUACCGAGAACAGAUUUCAUUUUUUUAGGAGAAUUAUAAUGAGGAGGACGAUAGCCCCAAUCACGAGAUAAUAAAAGGAAAAGAAAUGAACGUCAGAUUGGUUCGAAUCCAAUUCGUGAGAAGAAGAAAAGUGAGUUGAGAGCGGGUCUAAUACCUUUCUUUUCCGCAACAAUACGUGCGUUUAGCAAGUUCAAGUAUAGGGUCUUAGUCAUUAUACUGAAUAAGUUGCCUGCUUCCAUGUGACUGAGUCGUCCGAGGUGAGAUGGCCUUUUUCUGGGUAGUUCGAGGGAAGAGGGAAUCGCUAUCGUCUUUCUAAAGGACGGGGAUUUUUGUGUAUUGCUUUGCAGACGCUAACUUGACUUCACUCACUUUAGAGACGGAAAAAAAAAAGGGGCGAAGCGCAUUCAUACCCGGCAUAGUAUAUACUUAUAGUUUCUUGAUCGUCAUGCCCGAUCCGACCUUGACCCAUAUGGUACUGAAACUAGAUUCCAAGUAGAAGACAUGGAAGUAGAUGUAGGGGAUGCAAGAGAACUCCCGCUGGCAGGAAGAGACCUGAAUGCCCUUAUGACAAGACUAGCCCUCCCCAAAAAUAGAAAAAGAAAGGAGAUCUUCUUCCUCAAAGAAAAGCUUUUCCGGAAACUCUCUCACAACCCUCCCCUACAUUAAAUCACUUACAGAAAGGUGAAAGAGACUUCUAGACAAGUUUGCUCACAGAAUUGCCCACUCACUUGAGAACUUAAUUUAUAGUUUUCCUAAUCUCCCUAUCAAAGUCUUACUCGUCAUUUCAUCCCUAGAAAUCCCAUAUACUGCUUGCUUUAUGAAAUGCCCUAUUCCGCUCUAGAAAAAACAUAUUCCGCCCUAGCCGCCUUUGACCUAGCGCCUUCUGCAAAAGGGGGAAUUAAACUAUCAACUACAGAUACGAAUGCUGGUUAUGAAAUAUGUGUUAUAAGUAUGCUUAUAACAGUAGAUCUAGAGAUACACAUAUGGACAGGAUUUUCCUAUGAUACAUAUAUUUGUUAUUUUUCAUUGAUAUAAUAUCAUAUCAAUUUCAUAUAAUGCCAAUUUCAUUAGUAACAGAAUAACACAUAUCUUUAAUAGCGGUAUCACUACCAAAGACAACAAUCUCUACAUUCUCAUUCUCAAGAUUCAACGCUAUUCCUUUCACACCGCUCGCAAAUUCAACCAUUUCCCCAGCUUGAAUCUUGUUCAAUCCAUAAACACGCGCAAUCCCAUCUCCAACUGAGACCACUCGACCGAUCUCAUCCACUUUAAAAUUCGUGUAAAAGUUGGUAAUUCGACUUUCUAAUAGAGUCGUUAGUUCCGCAGCUCUGGGAGAGAAUUCCAUAAAUAAUUCCAUUUUCGAAUUUAGAGUCAAGGAGGAAUGCCACUGAAAAAGAUGCUAUGUAUAUUUAGAUUAGAUCCCCGAGCUGGUAAUUAGAGUUAGAAAGAGGUUUUUUCGGGGAAGGCUCGGCUAUGAGGAAGAGUUAACAAGGGGAUCCAUCCUAAGGAAAACCUUCCCUUUUAAUUGUAGAAAGGUUUCGGAUCCCUUGCCAUUUUGAUUGAGAUCGUCCACAAAGGCAUGGAUAAGGGAAGCUCAAAGAGCUUUCUUCGCAUGCUUGAGCCCAUUAAUAAAAUAUUAAUAUCAUAUUGAUCAAGGCUUUCCUUUAGUUUAAUUUGCAGCUAGUGGUUUCAGAAUAUUCCUUCCGCUAAACGGUUGCGCUAAGUCUUCCUUGGCUUUCCUCCCCUUCUCAGUCCUCGGAGUGCUAGCCAUUAUCCAUCAAGAGAUAGCGAAUAUGUGUUAUCAAACAGCCAUUUGGCGAUGUGAACAGAACUCGUCCUUUUAUUGACAUUGAGACAGAUAGGCUUGUGCUCAUGACAGGAUGUAGUUUAUUCUAGAACUUUUGGUCUCAACAAGAGGUUGCAUGGAGGACGAAGGGAGAAAUCCAGUUCUUUUACUAAGUAUAGGGAAUGUAAUGUGGGGGAAGAGCUUUUUGAGGAAAUUUGAAGCAUCGAGGGGUAGGUGGUUAGGGGGGGCGGCAGGGCUGCCUUUUCAAUCAAUCUCCGGCCGCUCAGCGCCGCUAUUGGUGCGAGUUAUAAGGAGUCUUAGUCUCGAGUCGAGCUGAGGCGUCAUUUCAUUCUCGUAACGGGAGUGAGUGCACCGCAAGACCAGACAAGUUACUCCCUCGCCUCGCAGCGGUGACACCUGCCUUUUAAGUUAAGUCAUUUCCUACUACUGAAGUACCAAAGGUGCGCUCCGCCCGGUGACUAAGAAAGAAAUAGGUUUGCGCUUAAAUUGAAGUGAUGAGGUCGCAAAGAGGGAAGUAGGGCUCCUAUUGAAACGCUUUCCCUCCCUCAAAAGGCGACCAGCUUUCAAUACUAGUUGUUACGUUACACUGCCAUUUUUCCAAUAUCAUUGAAUAGCAUGGCCUGGAGCUAAGGUAACUCAAGUGGGAAAGCCGUGUUAUGGGUGACCUUAUUGCACGGUUCAGAGAGCACUUGUGUAUGUGAUGCAAGUGAACAUGUACGAAAAAGCUGUCGCAAAGUUUCGUUGUUCGUUCCGUCUUUGACCCUAUCUAUGUUUCUAUGAUGGCCCAAGAACACGCUCAUUCUUCAGCCGUAGAGAGACUUUUGAAUUGCGCGGUACCAUUACGAGCUCAAUAUAUACGAGUGUUAUUCCGUGAAAUAACUCGAAUUUCAAAUCAUUCACUUGCUUUAACUACUCAUGCUAUGGAUGUGGGAGCAUCAACUCCAUUCUUGUGGGCUUUUGAGGAGCGGGAGAAAUUGUUGGAAUUCUAUGAAAGAGUCUCGGGAGCCAGGAUGCAUGCCAAUUUCAUACGUGUAAAAUAAGUAUUUGUUAUAAGCUCAGAGGAAGCUAGCAUAUAUUGUUAUUUUGUUAUACCUAUUUAUACUAAACCAGAGCAUUCAAAGUAACAGUAGAUCUAGAGAUACAACAACAAGGCAAUGGGGCCUACAAAGCCCCAUUUAUACCACCACUCAAAACGACAACUCAAAACACCAAUUAUGAAACCCCCUCUCUCCCACUUCACACCUCGGAACGUACCGUUCUUAUAGAGAGAAAGGCGCUUUCACAUCUUCUUAACCCGAAAUGGCUGGGGAGAGGAAAGGUUCCUUUUUUUAGGGUACUCCUGGGAACAGAUCCAGUGGAGACGAGGUGGGGCCUGUAGCUCAGAGGAUUAGAGCACGUGGGACAGGUGAGGGAAGGAAGAAAGAUCUCUGAUCCAGUGGAUGCUUGAAAGUGAGGUAAGCCGAUCCCAUGAGAAGGGUUCGAGCCGAGCUGCUUUAGCUAGUAGAAAGCGGUUAGCGCCUGUCGUAAAGGGCAUUAGGUUCUGAAAGAAGACCGGAAGACCGGGUUGUGACAAUAAAAAUUUUUCCUAUUGAUUUGAGUACCGAUAUUAUCAUUUUGUAAAAUAUUAAAGGUUGACAAGGUACGGUACGUCAGUUCCGGGACUUAUCUUGAGAAGGGGAGUUUGAAGCCCGCCCUAUGGAAGGUGGGAUUCGAACGUCACGUCUUUAGUUAUGCCGGGAAGUGGGUAAGGUCAAGUUGUACCCGAUCUACUGAUCGAUCGUAGACCAGUCUCGUAGUUGAUUCUUCGGCUGUUUUUUAUUCUUCUUUAAAGGAUGCACGGAGCCUGUCCCGGGAUUGAAUCUUGUUCAGUGAAGCGAAGAAGGGUAAUAUUUUUAUCACCUCUCACGAGGGAGUUAAAGCCUCUCUGAUUGAAUGCGGGUCUUGUGUUAUAGGAGCCGAAGCUGCCUAGUCCUUUAGGUCAGUCAGUUAGCCCACUACGCCAUCAGAAACUGGAUUAGAGCCUAGACCUCCACUUGCGGAAAGAUCACCGCGUAAUGGAGACUCGCUUUUGAUUAACUAGCUUGGCUCGCAUCCGACCAUGGGGCGCCCUUCACUUCAAUCCUCACAAAAGAGAAGAAUUAUGUCCAAAAAUUUGCCUUUAUAGGCCUUACUAGUUGUUGCUGCUGGAACUGGUACUUAAGUCCUGUCCUGGAAAGAUAUAUGUUAAAUAUCCUAACAAAGCCUAGUAGUUCCCCUUCGGGCACAUGUCUAUCAUAUGAACAAGGAGGAAGAAGUUGAUGCUUUAACAGCAUAGCGAACCAGAGUCAAUCUGAUGUAAAAUUGGCAAAUAUGCCUCUUUCACGGCGAGACUGACCAGGUCGCUUACGAUCCAUUGGCAGAGCCUUCCAAGUCGGUUCCCACGAUAUUCCCUGGUAAAGGGGGCGUGAGAGGGCUUGAGAUAGGUACCGAUUGGUUCCAUAGCAUCUGGGGCUGAAGCCCUGUUCUAGUUACUAUAAUUAGUGUAGCACCUUUAUUUUCAGGGCUUACUUCGGAGAGUACCGCUGCUAUUGUUUGAGUAUAAUCCUGGUAUCCUUCUACAAUCGUCUUUGUAUGGGUACAAGGGACAGAUCAUCUAUACUUUAAUAUGUAAUUUUUUAUUUUCAUUUCAGUAAUAAAUCCUUCUUGCUACUAACCCGCACCUACUCAUAAGCAUCUUACUUGUGGGAACUGAACCCUCUAAAGGACCCAUUCAUUCACGACGACCUCCCACUCACUGGACUGAAUGGACUUCCCACUCGCACUGUUCUUGAAGGAGGGGGAAAGCUGGAUGCUGUGGCGCUGGUUGCUCAAUUGGACCUGUAUUUUGACAAGCGGGCUGAUUCCCGCUUGCUUCGGAGCUUUCUCCAAAGUUGCUCCCUCGGAUCAAUGUCCAGUCGGAGUUGCCCCAAAAGUACUCUCACCGUCAGGUGAAACAUUGUGAUUAGCCAAAGAAAGUUCCCAUCUCAAAGUAACUAUACCUAUAACACAUAUUUCUUCUUUAUUGGUUAUGUUAUACACAUAUACCGCUAUCAGUAUAAAGGACACAUAUGUUACAAUUUCUUCCUAUUUGACCCGAUGCCGUACCCUUCAUGUGUUCAUGAUACAUGGCCGGGGUACAUAUUCCACAAAAAUAAGGUUCGACUACGAGGAUUGAUAAGUUGUUCAUUUUGUAACCUUCACCUCUAUCUAUACAGUUUCAUUUCUACGUCUUCGACGAGCAAGACUUCACUGCUGACAUAGGGUGAGGUUUCAACCCUCAGCCACUAGUGGAAGACCUUUCAAAGGAAAAGGUUGGUUGGGAGCGGGAAGGAGUCAAUUAUAGAAAGAGUAGAGACGGAUAUUGGAACUCUAGCUCUGACCAUGUCAACUAUGAUGGUUUCGCUGCUGCCAGUCCUUCCACUAGUGAAUGCUGGCACGCGGUACUUUCCAAACCCCCAUGUCUAGAUCCUGCCGAAAAAGACUGAAGCGGAUCUAAUUCUAUGAAUUAGCCUCGCCGAUCGAUCUUAGCACUAUGCUUAGCACAUGAAAUUUUUAAGUGUGUUUUCGGGGCGAAUCCACAAAGGUCAGGAAGAGAAAGGACGACUCUAUCUCUUUAUCUCUAUCUUUUAGUUAGCCAGGAUUUUAACCUAUCUCCAGAAAAGAAAGCAAGCUGAGCAGUUCUCACUCUAUCUGGUGACCAAGAAAGCUUGCUUAAAGAAUGCCGUAAAAUGAUCACAGAAAAUACCGAUUCGCCAUGGAUGAUACGAUUCAAAGAGACAAGAACCUAUUCGUGCAGCCUAUUCUUGUUCCAAUCGUUUGAGGAAAGCCCGUUUUUUGGCAUCAAAGAAACUCUGUGAUCUAGGAUUAAAAACCUCAUCUCGUUCAGUCUGGGAGAUAGUGGAAUUUUUUCUUUAAACCCGUACAUACACCUUUAAUUUGAAAGGUAUUAGUAGUCAAUCCUCUCUUCAUUCUUUACUUCGCUUCCUUUCUUUCAUCUGUGAGAGACUGGAUCUACUGUCUCUAAUUCAGCAUCUUCCUUUCAGUGGUUUUAUUUUUAUACCCUCCCGUCACGAGCUAACUUGAGAGCUGGGUUAAGAGCAACUAAGGAUAAUCGGGGUAGGGAUGGGACUAAAGAGACUAUUUGUUUACAGCCAACCAUGAACAGAGUUCAGAGUCGAUUCGGUAAUUAAGAGUCAAUCUAGUAUGGUAUGGCCAAUACCUCCCUGGCCUUGAGCCUGCUUCUGCUUUAUCUGCAGAUAGGAUGUCGGAAAGAGGAUUCUAAAUAGAAAGAGUCCUUAUCCUUAUGAAGAGACAGUAGGAGAUAGAUCCAUUCCUUCCAUUACGACUGGGGCCUUAUUUUUUUAAUAAGGGAAUGAAGCCUGAUCCUUUAUUUCUAUUUUGAUUAAUCCCCGACCGGGUCUGAAGCCGCAUAGAUGAUUAGCUAUUGGAACGAGAAUGAGGACGAUGAACCUGGUCAGUAGGGACCCAUGGAUCUCCAUCUCUUCCUCUCCCGAUCUCCCUAUGUUUGGUGGAGAGGAAAGUCGGACAAAGAUGAUCCUGUUGUAGCCUCCUUUUCUGAUAUAGGGGAGUGAUAAAAAGUUCCAUCCAUUAUGAAUGCAUCAAUUAUCGUCCAGUCUAGUCGUCGGGGUUCAUCUGGCAGUUCAUUCGCCUCUUUUUCGGUAUGAUAAACUACAAGCUCUUUCAUUGUGGGAUAUUUCUUAUCCUAAGGAAUAAGAAUAAUAGGUCGAUCAAAGCACUCCGUGCUUUUCGAGGCGCUGCCUGUGACUCAGCAUGAGGCGGAACUGCACACUCUCGUGUUCAGAGCAUUGUCCGAGUGAGUAGGCAGCGCUCCUCCUCCUUCUCCUUCGUAACCUUCAUCGUUGUUGGACAUGCAGGGAAACUUACACGUGAGGUUCUGGCCGGGGACCCUGGUAUACUGUACUAAUAUGUGUAGGUCGCACACCCCAUUCUUCAACCCCCCCUUUUUUUGCCAUUGUCACUACUGGUACCUGACCCCGUCGGCUCAACAUUUUUGCAAACACCGACCCUUACUCAAUAGGGCAAUGAAAAGAGGAGAACGAGGACAGCUGACUACCACUAAAAGUCAGACUACGAGUACACAUUGUAUGAUUAAAAACUGCCGCUGCGUACUAUCCAGUGCUUGCAGGUCUGACUGGGCAAGACAAGAGAAGAGGACUGGUCGCUUCGCUUGUAUCUUCGGGAUACGAAUUGGCGGUCUUUCUUUACGAGCACUAGGACGUACGUACUAACUAUGGAUUUAGUAAUAUGCGAUUUUAUAUCUAGGAUGGGUUUGGCUUUGCCUGUAGCUAUUCUUGUAGGCGUUAGGGCUGGUCGAAUGUCCAUCAAAUGAAUAGUCUCAAUAUGGAAACCAAAAUAACUGAUUUAGCGAUAGAUGUUGUAAAGGAUAAAAUUGUUAACCAACUAGAAUUUUUUUCAGAGUAUACUAGGGAUACUACUGGAGAUGUGAACUUUCCAACAGGAGUCAACCUCCAAGAGGUAGUCGAACGUCUUUUUUAUUCGAUAACUCUUUGAGUGUAACGGCUCACGCUCAUGAUGGCUUUGCUCUAACGUUAGGAAGUCCUCUCUUUCCUUGUAUGGAUUUCUUAUGAGUGAUUCAUAUGCUUUAGCUGGAGUAGGAUUCUUUCUCAAGCUAGCUUACUCUACAUUAUCAUAUGUAUGGUUUCGCGGGCAUGUCCAACCGUACCUUUCCACUUGCCAAUUCAAAGUCUAAAAACCGGUCAAUAAGACAGAUCCGGAUCCUAGUGCUUUCGAGAUGGUUCGAUCACUAACAAAGACAAGCAUGGGAAACAGCAGACUCUCAACAAGCAACUCCAAGAGCUCAAGCCUAAAGCUUUAGUAACGUGCAUCCUCAUUGCUCGCGUAAAGCAAGCGUAGGCUCGAAGGCCGAAGUGCGCUAGUGCUCGUUGCAUUUCCCUCCUAGUCGGGUAAAGUAUUCUGCUCGUUUGCUGUCAGGAAUUCAGUAGAGUGGCCGGUCGUUGAAAGAAGCAAGCCUAUAGCUCGAGUGGCAUUUCACCCCUAACCACAACUUAUCCGCUGAUUCUUCAACAUCAGUCAGUUCGGACCUCCACUUAGUUUCACCCAAGCUUCAUCCUGGUCAUGGAUAGAUCACCCAGGUUCGGGUCCAUAAUCAGUGACAAUUGCCCUAUGAAGACUCGCUUUCCCUACGGCUCCAGUGGGUUCCCUUAACCAAGCCACUGCAUAUUAGCUUUCUUUAAUAGAAUUUGAUUUCGAGAAAAUGUAAACCUUGACCACAAGUUGAGAACAAGAGUAAAUAGCCCUUCUAUCGAAGAAGAGCAAAUCUCUCUUGAAAGAAAAGUGAGCCCUUUCUUAGUUGAAGGAUGGACCUUAACUAGCCCGAAUCCUUUUGCCUUGGACUUCAUCCUGAUGUUCUUUGUAAGCGAUAUGAAAUCUGUUAAGUGUUGAAGUAAAGGGUCCAACUCUAUCCCCGGCUAUACGUCCAUUUCUCGGGGGCUCACCUGCGUACCUUUGAUUCUCUCUUACUGUAAGUCUAGAUCGGAUUUCUACCCAGCAGAGGGAGCUCUACUUAUUUCAUAACAUUACUGGUUACAGCGAGAAAGAAGAUCCUAACAAACGGCGCUGCUCAUUCAGCGUUUCACAAGAGUCAAGCAAAGAAA
rnacentral:lncRNA from 1 species